rnacentral:rRNA from 1 species
AUGAUGACCGGAUCCAUGUCUCUCAAAUUGGAGCAAGGAAUUUGGGCAUGGAUCCCUCUCUCAAUCACGUCUCUCUCUUUCUCUCAAACUCUCAGGUCUCUUCUCUCCUCACCUCAAAUUGCAGCACUUUUAUCCUCACUUCAAAUUGCAUCAAGGACUCUUCUAUCCUCACCUCAAAUUGCAGCAAGGACGUUGGGGCAUGGAUCUCCUGCGCUCAACGAGGUUAUCACAAUAAAUUAUUUUCCUCAUGUGGAUCAGAGAUCGGCUCGGGGCAGAACUAAGCCCAUAAGGCUAGCUUAUAAAUUAAGCCUGCAGCCUAACAUAGACCAUCUCAAAUCAAGGAGGCUCUGUGCAUUGUCAGCAUCGUCAUUGGUCAGAUUCUCCUAUUAG